AGUGAACGCUGGCGGUAGGCCUAACACAUGCAAGUCGAACGGCAGCACAGGAGAGCUUGCUCUCUGGGUGGCGAGUGGCGGACGGGUGAGGAAUACAUCGGAAUCUGCCCAGUCGUGGGGGAUAACGUAGGGAAACUUACGCUAAUACCGCAUACGACCUUCGGGUGAAAGAGGGGGAUCGCAAGACCUCUCGCGAUUGGAUGAGCCGAUGUCGGAUUAGCUAGUUGGCGGGGUAAUGGCCCACCAAGGCGACGAUCCGUAGCUGGUCUGAGAGGAUGAGAGGCCACAAUGGGAGUGCGACACGUACCGGGUGCGGAAGGGAGGCAGAAGGGGGGAAUAUUGUAGAAUGGACGAAAGACUGCUCCAGGAAUGAGGCGGGAGGGAGGAAGGGGUUAGGGGUGUAAAGCCCGCUGACAAGGGAGGACAAGGACAGGAGGUGGAAAAGGAGAGACGGCGAACUACGUG
rnacentral:rRNA from 1 species